CAGUCUUAGUCUUCUUAGUGGCUUCUUGCUAGUCUUCUCGAUGGUCUUUUUAACUGUGGACCUAUUUUCUGCUACGCAUGCCUUGCUCACAUCAACUUCCUUAUCCUAAUCUCCACUGAAAAAUCUGGUCUCUGGAACAGUUCUCCAAGUGUACAAUUGUAUUGUUUUCACCAUUAUCUCGUGUGGGUCGUGAGUGUUGAUGCGAGGGCCAUACAUUUAUAACACUAUAGAAGAUGUCCUAAGUAUUUUAAAUUAAGUCACUCUCUUAAAUACAUGUUCUACAUGGAUAGAGUGACUUUGUUGAUUUUUUUGCUCUU